rnacentral:rRNA from 1 species
GACGAACGCUGGCGGCGUGCUUAACACAUGCAAGUCGAACGGAAAGGCCCCUGUUUUGUGGGUGCCCCGGGGGGGGACGGGGUGGUUAACCCCAGGGUAUCCAGCCUUAAACUUUGGGAUAAUUUCAGGAAAUGGGGGCUAAUCCCGGAUAGGCGCUCCGCCUGCCCGGUGGGGCUGGGAAGGUUUCGCGGGUUGGGAAUGGAAUCGCGGCUUAUCAGCUUGUUGGUGGGGUAGUGUAUUACCAAGGCUUUGACGGGUAGCCGGCCUGAGAGGGUGACCGGCUAGAUCGGGACUGGGGUAGGCCCCAGACGUCUACGGGAGGCAGCGGGCGGGUACAUUGCACCAUGGGCGGAAGCCUGAUGCAGCAACGCCGCGUGCGGGAUGACGGAUGCCGGGUUGUAACCCGUCUCCGCCUGUGACGAAGUGUGAGUGACGGUAAUGGGUAAAGAAGCAACGGCUAACUACGUG